GACAGACAGAAACAUCACCACCAAAACACAGACAAAAAACUCCAAUAGAUUAAGAAAAUAAGGCUUAGCUGCAAACUGAUGGACUCUGAGCAUCCUCUCAGCCUAGUGAUGUCUGAGCUGGUGAGAGACCCUGGCAACUGUUCACCAGCAAUUCCGUAUUUUCUUUCUUCCUUGUGUGUUUUAUAAGUGGUUUUUAACCAGGCCCCCUGAAAGUGUGUUAUUGUUAGAAAUUAAACCAAGAAACAAGGGAUUGUAAUUUAGUACCAGAAAGUUAAUUCUGGAGCCCUCUGACCUUCGAGUGGUCACGUGGCUAUUGAUUUUCAAUACCGUGAGGUGUUGUGCCACCCUAGACGUGGGGUUCAGUGGAUUCCAAGCAGUUUCUCCCUUAUCAGUUGAGUCCCUGAGUACUUGAGCAUUAAGACGACAAAUGUCCACAGUUAACGGCGUGUCACAUGGCAGCCGGGUGGACGUGCCAAAUUUCUAAUGAAGUCAGGUUGUUGGCAAACACACCAGUCAUCAUAUAUCGAAGAAGGACUUCUUUUGUGUAUUUCCAAUACUCUCAAGUGCUCUGAAAGAUAGCCCAUUCCUUCCUCGUGCAUGGGCCAGGCACCAAGGGAGGAGCAUCCAUCCACUGUCAAGACAAAAGCUAUCAGAAGCAGAGUUUAAAGCAAACUGGAGCCGAGCUUCACAGAUGUUAGAGACAUUUUUUUCCAGUCGCACUCUGCAGGAAUUACUCCAAAUAGAUACGAGGGCUCCAAGGCCCUCGAAGCUCCAUCAGAGAGAGGAGGCUAGGGGUCAUUUCUCACUACCAGCUCAGCUUAAUCCCAUUUCUCUCUCUAUUGAAGGAAGAGAAAGAGCCAAAACCUUUACAGACCGAGCCAGGAACUGGAUUCACUCAGCUGCCAGGAAUGCCCCGGCCAGUCAAUGGAGAGGUGCCCCAGGCCCUCAGCAAAAGGACGAUGAGUUCCCGCUGACCCUGGUACAAUGGAUCUCACCGGAGCAAGAUAUGUAUUUUAUACGGGUGGUGAGAAGCCUACAAGUAAUUGAGAGAGAGAAAUGUCACUGUAGCAUUUCUGUUGACACUGCACUCUGCAAGGAGAGAGCCCCGGCCUGGUGGUAGAGGUCCUGCAUAGCUGAGCUGGGAACCAGGAUGCUGUUCUUUAGAAAGGAGGAGGCAGUUUAAGUAAACCCACUUAGGUUUUCCAACUAAUGGAAUAUUCCCAGGACUGCAGGGCCACAGAGAAGUCUGCAGGCUGCUUUCCGUUUGCUGGGAUGCGUUUGCUGGGAUGCGUGUGGACUCCGAGCCCAGCUGCUAACUUGGAUCUGCUUUUCCAGCUCGCUUUAUUGUCUUCCAUAAUGCUUAAUGUACUGUUUGUAUAUGUUGUCCUUGCAGUAUAUUUUGAUGAACUCUCGUAUAUUUUAUUCAUCUCUGGCUUUCUGGGAAGGCGAGCUCGCAGCAACACUGUGAAUAAUUAUUUGCCACUAUCAAUCAAGUGUCUGCGUGGUUGGCGCCUCAUGGGACAGCCUGGAUCCUUACCGGGACAUGUAACAUUUGCUCUUUGGGGCCAUUUCAUUCUUUGUUCUGGGGUGUGUUGAUGGGCUCUUCCAGCUGAACACUGGCUUUGGAGAGGACCAUUCCCAGAGGAGGCGGCAGGCCUCACUGGAGCAUGUGCCCUGACAGGAGAGCCGGCUGGAGCCCAGGACCCACCUGAGCUUAAUAGUAAGGACACUGGGGCCGGAGAAGUGGCUCGGCUAAUGGAACCCUUGCCACGUGAGCAAACAUCAGGCCUGGAGUAUGAGCUCCCACCAUGCAUGUAAAGCACAGGUAUGUAUGGUAGCCUGUAUGGGAGAUGGACUGGACACAGCAGAGUCCCCAUAGCAAACUGGAGAGUUAGGACAGUGGAAUCAGGGAGCUCCAAAGAGACCCCACCUCAAUAAUAAAGUGGGAAAAUAUUGGGGAAGGCACUCUGCCUCAGCCUGGGCCUCCACACGGACCACACAUAUUCUCCCACAUGUGAACAUCCUUAUACAUGUGUGUGAACCACACAUGCACAUUUGAAGAACAAAGUGAAGGUUUGGCAGUUCAUCGUGGUAGGUGCGGUAGCUGCAAACUCCUUUGUUUAUAUGUUUCUCCGUAUAAAUGGAGAUUCCACUGAGAGACUCAUACUCGGGGGUCAGUACUAACGUGUUGCUUUCUAUAUCUUCCAGGACCCACACUGUAGAUGUGCAUACAUAGUCCUAGGGGUACUAGAAACGGAGGCUUUAGAUCUGUGAUGCCCAGUCCCUGAGAUCUGUCCCUGAGAGGGAGAGUAUUCAGCAGGUACCUUGUAGAGCCACCAUUGUACAAACUGGGACCAGCCUUCUGGUGGUUUCUUUCCCUCCUGCUGAGCAUGUGUCCCAACUGAAACCUGCGUGCUCUUAGGUCCUACAGUAUCCCGGGCUAUGUUGUUUGCAAAUGUUUGAUAAACAGACAAAUAGAUAUUGUUCUCUAAUUCUGGCCAUCAGCCUCAGGACAAAUGCUCUCUGUGCUCAGCAUUUCUAGCUCUGGAAAUGAAGAACUCUCAGAAUCGUAUUUAAGGGAAGGCAGGUCCCUGAUUAACCAAGUUCCCAGCUUGUCUUUGUGGUGUGUGUAUAUCAUCAGUAUGUCUGUCUGUUUGACAACACAGUGAUGCUGGAUCCAAGUUCAACUGGAGGGGAUAUGGAGGUCAAACAGGGUCUGGAUGACAAAGGUGUCCUCUUCCUCUGGGGGCAGGUACUUAGCAGAUGGGAAGUCAGCAGAUACAUUUAGGGCAAGGUGCAAACCUCAAAGCCGCCCACCCCUGGUACUAAAUAUUUAUGCUGGACUGUGAUGCUGGCUGAUCGUCUGAUGAGCCCAGGAAGCUGCCCUCGUGACAAAGUCAAGUGAAGAUCGAGGGAAGAGAAUCCAACACUUGAAGAAAAAUUCAUCAGGAACUAUGUUUCAGAAGGAAAAUAAGAUGUGAGUGUAUGUUGACUCUUGGCCUUGCAUUCUGAAGGAGUGAGCUCCCUUCUUCCAAGGGUAAGUGACAACUAGAAGGUAAAGGCCCUCCACAUGCAGGAAAAUGGCCCUUCCCUCUUCUAUCCAGCUGAUAUUGAAACUGUUUUCAGUGUUUUUAAAAUGCAACUCCCAUUUCAUUUUUUUCUGUUUUAGAGCUGAAGAAAACAAAAAAAAAAAACAAACAACAACAACAACAACAACAACAAAAAAAAACAAAUAAAGAACACUGCCUCUGACCUCCCAGCAAACCACUCCCUUAGUGGAUCGCAUCAUCUUCAGGCCUGCUACACAGCUCCUCACUGCACACACAGACACACCUGCCACAUCCCAGGACCUCUAGUGGGGACUGCCCUACAGCAGAGAGACUGAGGCUGGGUUUUCAAGCUCACCAGGACUGUGUAUAGUAUGAAAGGAGGCUUGACUCGGGCUUUUGGACUGCAAGUCUAGAAAGCUGUCACCAGCAUUUGAGGGAUUGAACUGGAUCUUUUCAAAGGGACCUUAAAUUUUGAAACCCGAUGUGGCUGUCUUGGAGGCCAUAUUGCUGAAAGGUAUCCAGGCCGGCUCUCAGCUGUGCUCUCAAGACUUCGCGUUCAGCAGAGACCCUGCAAGUACAGAACACAGCAGAGAAGCGGGAUGGAAUGGCUAUCGAGGCUGAGAGCUAGAUGUUGGUCUGCUCUGGAAGUUUUCUAGAGUCUGCUAGUUUGCGAGUCUAAAAAGAUGGGAUUCCGACUCUAGAAACAGAACACCCAGCCACAGACAACACAAGAUCUGCUUUCCCACAUAGUCCUUCAAGCCCUACCUCCCAUCUUAAGCUUGAUCUGAUCCUGAGGAGUAAGUGACCUUAAUUCAGACCAGAGACCUGGAGUCCUUAAUAAAAUUGGCUUUGCAA